rnacentral:rRNA from 1 species
GCAAGUCGAGCGCUCACUUCGGUGGGAGCGGCGGACGGGUUAGUAACGCGUGGGAACGUACCCAGAUCUGCGGAAUAGCCUUUGGAAACGAAGAGUAAUACCGCAUACGCCCUUCGGGGGAAAGAUUUAUCGGAUUUGGAUCAACCCGCGUAAGAUUAGAUAGUUGGUGGGGUAAUGGCCUACCAAGUCUACGAUCUUUAGCUGGUUUGAGAGGAUGAUC